CGCUCACUGUACCUCGUGCUCACCAUUAGGAUGCGCGUCACAAGGGAAAAUCAGGUGCCCAAACUUAUGAGAAAUGGGAUAGGAAUGUGCUGAGUCUAUGAAUUCUCCUCAUUGCUGCCUGUAUUGGAGAUUAUGCAGAGAGAACGAAUGAAAGGAAAAGAAAGGAAGGAAGGAGGAGGGAAUGAGGAAAGAAAGAGAAGAAUCAGGCACUGAUCAGAAGGGGAUUUUAUGAGAGGAAAAACCAGGAGCAAGUCCUAAAAAGAACUGUUUCCCCUCCACAAAAGUUGCCAAGAAUCUGCACAUUCAUGCCCAUCAAUUUUCCCUAAUUGCAAAGAUUCCAUGAGGCUGAUGUUAAGUGGUCUAGAGGGUUUGGGGAUGUCUGUGCUCUCCUGGGGGAGGUCCUGAGGUUCUGGAUUCAUCAGCCACAGGAUCUCCUGCCAUUUGAUUUGAACUUUUCUGUUAGUUCAUCAAUAUUUGGAAUCUCCCAAGGGCUGCCCACACCGACAGUUAUUACAUCACAAUAGGAACAGACCCUUGUGUGUGUAAUCAUUGGCUGGUUUUUCAAAGCAGGCUUCGUGUCCCUUACCUCCUCUCCCGUCCUGGAGAAGGUUGACAUCAAUAUGGCAGCCAGCACAAGCCCCGCUAAGUGUAGUGCUAUGCCCAUUUUGCAGAUGAACUCCUGUACCUAAUGGCCUUAGGUCCUUGGAUGAGAAGAUACCCCUAGAGGCUAUUUGGUCCAGCCCUCUCCCUUACAACUAGAUGUGCAUGACCAUGAUGGAAGGAAAGGCAUGUCCUGAGUCCUUUGAAGACUGCCACAGGGCAAGAAUUCUCUGGGCAUGGAGUCUCUCCCAUAUACCACAGAGUUUCCUUGUUGCUGAAUCCAUCAGGUUUGCAUGGAAAACAAGCUUUCCUGGUGGAUGUUUUCACAGCAUAUGUGAGGAUUAGCAAAUACCAGAUCUCCACUUACCUGCUUGGAGCUCCCCCCGCCAUCACCACACAAUUCCUUGCAGGGUUGGGUAAGCAUCCUUCUUCCCUACUUUCUCUUCUAAACUCCAAGUGCUCUUUGGGAAGGGGAACCGGCAGUCCUCCCAUUGCUAAGUGAUUGGGAUGGGUUUGGGGGAACCAGGAGAAGAAGGGCUAAGGCUGUUAUAGACACCUUAUAGGUGAGAUUGACUUGGCCUGACUUUGCUCAUCCUAUGAGCAAAACCUCUGCCUUCCACUUUACUAUACAGCACUUCUCUCUUCUCAGGAUGACCUGGCAUUCAUGAGCUGGGGCUGGAGCUCUGGCACCUGACUCCCACCCAGGUUCUCUGCCUGGCACCAGGGUGCAGGACACCCCCCACUCCAGCAUGCUUGCUGCUUGGUUUGACUUCCUUUUUCAAAUUAGAUCUAAUUUCCAUUAAAAACAUUUUUUUUUUAAAGUAAGCUCUCUGCCUAUCAUGGGGCCUGUACUCACGAC
rnacentral:lncRNA from 1 species